rnacentral:piRNA from 1 species
UAAUAUGGUCCAUGUUUCNCAGGCAGGC